AAGUCGUAACAAGGUUUCCGUAGGUGAACCUGCGGAAUUAACACGCGUUAACCCCCUGUGAACCUUACAUCCACGUCAUAAACCGGCAAUCUCUGGUAAAUCAUCGCCGAACAGUUUUGAUUCAGAAACCUCUGUACGGUAGUGCGAGGCAAUUGACCUGGCAUUCCUCUGCUUGUUAGUGUCUGAAAGUGUCACUAGCUAUGUACGGAUGGCGCAGUAACGAUCGCUGGAGGCCGACACGGCCGGCGACCAGGUCACUGGGCUACGGCCCCCCUGAUCACAACCUUUGCAUGAAAACGGGCCUGCGCUGAGGUGCGGCCACCCCUAAUGCUUGAACAACUGUUAACAAUGGAUAUCUUGGUUCUC
rnacentral:misc_RNA from 1 species